rnacentral:rRNA from 1 species
AUUGAACGCUGGCGGCAGGCCUAACACAUGCAAGUCGAGCGGAUGAAGGGAGCUUGCUCCUGGAUUCAGCGGCGGACGGGUGAGUAAUGCCUAGGAAUCUGCCUGGUAGUGGGGGAUAACGUCCGGAAACGGGCGCUAAUACCGCAUACGUCCUGAGGGAGAAAGUGGGGGAUCUUCGGACCUCACGCUAUCAGAUGAGCCUAGGUCGGAUUAGCUAGUUGGUGGGGUAAAGGCCUACCAAGGCGACGAUCCGUAACUGGUCUGAGAGGAUGAUCAGUCACACUGGAACUGAGACACGGUCCAGACUCCUACGGGAGGCAGCAGUGGGGAAUAUUGGACAAUGGGCGAAAGCCUGAUCCAGCCAUGCCGCGUGUGUGAAGAAGGUCUUCGGAUUGUAAAGCACUUUUAGUUGGGAGGAAGGGCAGUAAGUUAAGACCUUGCUGUUUUGACGUUACCAACAGAAUAAGCACCGGCUAACUUCGU